UACGGAGGGUGCGAGCGUUGUCCGGAAUCACUGGGCGUAAAGGGCGCGUAGGCGGCGCGGGGAGUCAACGGUGAAAGCUCGGCGCUCAACGCCGAGUCGGCCCGUCGAUACUCCCCGUGCUCGAGCACUGUAGAGGCAGGUGGGAAUUCCGGGGUGUAGGCGGUGGAAUGCGUAGAGAUCCGGAAGAACACCGGUGGCGAAGGCGGCCUGCUGGGCAGUAGCUGGCGCUGAGGCGCGACAGCGUGGGGGAGCAAACAGG
rnacentral:rRNA from 1 species